rnacentral:rRNA from 1 species
UACGUAGGGUGCGAGCGUUGUUCGGAAUUACUGGGCGUAAAGGGAGCGUAGGCGGGAUUGUAAGUUAGAAGUUUAAUGCAUGGGCUUAACCCAUGGUCGGCUUUUAAUACUGCAGUUCUUGAGUAUGGGAGAGGGUGAUGGAAUUCCAGGUGUAGCGGUGGAAUGCGCAGAGAUCAGGAGGAAUACCGAAGGCGAAGGCAGUCUUCCAAGCCGUUAUUGACGCUCAACUGCGAAGGUGUGGGUAUCAAACAGGAUUAGAUACCCUGGUAGU